GCCAGGCAUGGUGGUGCAUGCCUGUAGUCCCAGCUACUCAGGAGGCUGAGGCAGGAGAGUCAUUUGAGCCUGGGAGGUGGAGGUUGCAGUGAGUCAAGAUUGAGCCACUGCACUCCAGCCUGGGCAACAGAGUGAGACUCUGUCUCAA
rnacentral:sRNA from 1 species